GCUUCCUUGGCUCAGUUGGCUAGAGCGCAGGUCUCAUAGCAUUGUCUAUGACACUUGGUAAUUGACCAAUGGCAAUCCUGAGGUCGCAAGUUCGAGCCUUGCAGGGAGCA
rnacentral:tRNA from 1 species